AAACGAACUGUAUUGACAUGUUGCGGAUUUGUUGGCUUGAGUUUUGCUCUUGCUUUUGGAUUUUGGAUUUUUGCUUUUUGCUUGCCCUCACCUUGUUCCACUGACUUCAUGGAUCGUUCAAAGAAGAUUUCCCCAGUCUGGAAUAAUUUUGAUCUUUUGACGCCAAAUAAGGUGAAUUGUCGGCUCUGCUCCACAGAGCUAUCCUACAUCAAUAAGAGCACUUCAUUAAUGCUGAGGCAUGAGAGAGCUAAGCCUGGCAAUGAACAAUUGGGAAAUACUUGUGUAAGUUCCCCAGUGCCAAACAAGCAAGCAGUGGAUGAGGCUGAGGUUUUAAGCAAAAUUUAAACUCUUCUCAUAAACAACUCAGCGAACAAAUUGAGCAAAUGAAAUUAUACAAUGGUGAGAUCAUAUUUUAAGUAAAGGACUUAGCGAUUAAAUAUUUUCACAGGCUGAUGUUGGGUUUGGAGCAUGUAAGCCUUUCCAUCUUAUUUUCAUUUUGUUUACCUGCAAAGAUUUUAGAACUACUGCAGGGGUCACUAUUGAGUGACCAACACAGUGUCAAUACAGGCCAACACAGUUUGUGUAGUGUGUCAAUACACUCCUUGAGGUAUCAUCAUCCCAUCACUAUUCUGCACAGUGCUCUGCAGUCAUUUUUACAGGACGGCAUCUCCUUGAAAGAGAAGUGCUGAGCUUUCUCCAUUUAUAGAUAAGUUGUCUAAAUGUGGAUUGAUGAACAUCAAGACUUUUAUAGAUGGUUGGGUAACCUUUUUCAGCUUUCAACAAGUUUAUAUAUAAAGUCCUGACCUCAACUCGAUUGAGAUGCUGUGGCAUGACCUCAAGAGAGCUAUUCACACCAGACAUCCCAGGAAUCUUGCUGAACUGCAACAGUUUUGUAAAGAGUUUUGGUCCACAAGUCAUCCUGAUUGUUGUGCUGUGCAACUACAGGAAACGUUUGGUUGAGGUUAUUGCUGCCAAAGGGUCAACCAGUAGUUAAAUCCCAGGGUUCAUUGACUUUUU